UACAGAGGUCCCAAGCGUUGUUCGGAUUCAUUGGGCGUAAAGGGUGCGUAGGUGGCGCUGUAAGUCGGGUGUGAAAUUUCGGAGCUUAACUCCGAAACUGCAUUCGAUACUGCGGUGCUUGAGGACUGGAGAGGAGACUGGAAUUCAUGGUGUAGCAGUGAAAUGCGUAGAUAUCUGGAGGAACACCGGUGGCGAAGGCGACAUCCUGGACCGGUAUUGACGCUGAGGCGCGAAAGCCAGGGGAGCAAACGGG
rnacentral:rRNA from 1 species